GCGGCAUGAGCUUGAACGGCAGGGAGAUGCCCUCGGUGACGCGGUACUUCAUCAGGUCGAACUUGCCGUCGGGGGGCACGAACGAUAUCGUCUUCUCGCUCGCGAACUUCGACAGGUUGACGCACUGAUGGAACUGCAGAUCGGCGAGGUCGAUGCUCUUCUUGUGGUUACCCCCGUGCGUCGCCUGCGCGUUGGCCUGAGCCUCCUCGCCAACCUUAUCGUUCAGGCCGAUGGUGAGCUCGGGCAUGCCCGAGAGGAGCGUCUUCAUCUCGAUGACCCCGGUGGCGGACGCCUUGAGCACCACCCCUUUCGGCGACAUGAGCAGCGACACGGACUCGACGAUGUCGAGGUACACCUCGUUCUUCUUGUACGUC
rnacentral:lncRNA from 1 species